GUUCUAACCCCGGGGUCUUCACUAAGAAGUGCUGGAAAUAGGAGGGGGAAAUUCCUGUGAAACUGUGCGAUCCCUUCCUCCAAGGGGCCUCCUUCACAGCUGUCCUGCCGGCGUCGCCAGCUGCCCAGCCAGUUCCUGUCCCUUUCGGAGCCCGCGCUCACCCCGCCUGACGCUCCUAGAGUCUGUCCUUCUGCCGGGUCCCAGGCCCACCGCUGGAGGAAUGGAGUUCUCGGAGCUGAUCCGUACGGGCCAGGCCCAAGCCGAGCUCCUGCGGGGCCCGGAGAUGCCCCCGCUGCGCGGCACGCUUUGCGUCACCGGCCACCACCUGCUGCUGUCGCCAGGACCCCAGGCGACUCCAGACCUGUGGCUGCUGCUGUUGCGUAGUGUCGACUCCAUCGAGAAGCGGGUCGCGGGUGACGCCGGCACCAUCACGCUGCGCUGUAAGGACCUGCGAGUGCUGCAGCUGGACAUAGAGGGCGUGGAAGCGACGCUGGACAUCGCCCGCUCCAUUGAGGCGCUGUCCUCCCUGGAAUCGGUCAUCACCUCCUUUCCGUUCUUCUACCGUCCCAAGGGUUUGAGAUUGGGCGAAGCCUGGCACUUCCACCCACCAGAACGCUACUACAAGCGAAUAGCUCGCGAGACCAGAGCGUGGCGGCUGAGCGAGGCGAACGAGGACUUCAGCUUGUGCCCCAGUUACCCCCGCGCGGUAAUCGUGCCUCGCGCCGUGGACGACGAUGCCCUGGCGCGCAGCGCCCGCUUCCGCCAGGGAGGCCGCUUCCCUGUGCUCAGCUACUACCACGCUCCCCGCGGAACCGUGCUCCUACGUUCCAGCCAGCCCCUGACCGGGCCCCAGAAGCUGCGUUGCGCUGAGGACGAGGAGCUGCUGCGAGCUGUGCUGGCGGAGGCUCGCCCGGGGGCCCGGGGCUUCAUCGUGGACACGCGCUCGGCCCAGGCCGCCAAACAGGCCCGCAUGACUGGCGGCGGCACCGAGGCCAAGGCCGCCUACCCGGGCUGGAAACGGCUGCACCGGCCCCUGGAGAGGGGGCGGCCCUUACAGGAGAGCUUCGUGCGCCUGAUGGAAGCCUGUGGGGACCCGGAGCAGAGCAUGGACCGCUGGCUUAGUCGACUAGAUGGCUGCCGCUGGCUGUCACAUGUGAAGGAGGCACUAAGCACAGCCUGCCUAGCAGCCCAGGGCAUGGAGUGGGAAGGGGCCUGCAUCCUGGUGCAUGGGGCCGAAGGCACGGACAGCACCCUGCUAGUGACUUCACUGGCCCAACUCAUCCUAGACCCCUUGAGCCGAACCAUGGCUGGAUUCCAGGAACUGAUAGAGCGAGAGUGGAUCCAGGCCGGCCACCCCUUCCAGCUGCGCUGUGCUCACUCGGCCUUCUCCCACACCCGCCCCAAGCACGAGGCACCCAUCUUUCUCCUCUUCCUGGAUUGCGUGUGGCAGCUGGGCCGCCAGUUCCCGCUGUCGCUGGAGUUUGGGGAGGGGAUGCUGUUGGCGCUGUUUGAUCACUCCUAUGCCUCCCCUUUCGGCACCUUCCUCUGCAACAGUGAAAAGGAGAGAUGCCUGUGUGAAGUGAGAACUCGAACACACUCCUUGUGGUCUGGGCUCAAUCAGCCAAAAGAGCAACGAAAACUCCGGAACCCGCUCUACGUCCCCAAUCCCUUGGCCAUCUGGCCCUCUGUGGAGCCCCAGAGCCUGCGACUGUGGCAAGGCCUGUUUCUGCGCUGGACCCAUCCACCUGAGCCUUCAGAGGUAGCAUGGGAGAAGGUGUGGCAAAUAGCAACAGAUCAGAAGACAGAAGGCUCUCAGCCAACAGAUUCAGCCUCUGAGCCCCAACCCUAAGUACUGGUCCUUGGAUGGUGGUUGAGAUGUUCCUGAAACUUCUCCAGGCCCCUCAGCACCUUUGGACCUUGAAUGACGGUGCCUGCAACCCAGCCUAGCCCAUAAUACUGAAGUUCCAGGUUUGAAGUGUCCAAAGUGUAGGGAGAAGGUCCAAAUAAUAAAGUACGCGGGCCUCUCACUGUCGUUGGCCUCUCCCGCUGCGGAGCACAGGCUCCGGAUGCGCAGUCUCAGCAGCGCUCCGCGCGGCAUGUAGAAUCUUCCCGGACCGGGGCACGAACCCGUGUCCCCUGCAUCGGCAGGCGGACUCUCAACCACUGCGCCACCAGGGAAGCCCAAGUCAUUUAUUUAAUCUGCACAGUUUUAUGAGGUAAGUAUAUUAUCAUUGUCUUCAUUAUACAGUCAAGGGUAAUUGGGCACAGAGAACUACAGUGAUGUGUAGAGCUUCAGAGCGAGCCCAAGAGUUCAUGCUCUUAACUGCUAUAUUAUACACUUGUCACAGAAGGGCCACAAAUCUGGCUGCACUUCCUAGCAGCCAAUGAAUUAAGGAAAGUCUCUUUAGUUUUAUGAUUUGUGUCCAUCAUGAAAGACAUUUCAUGAAGUUUCAGUUUGGAAGAGCUCCUUCCCCCUUUACCU